UACGUAGGUGGCAAGCGUUGUCCGGAUUUACUGGGUGUAAAGGGCGUGUAGCCGGGCUUACAAGUCAGAUGUGAAAUCCGGGGGCUCAACCCCCGAACUGCAUUUGAAACUGUAGGUCUUGAGUAUCGGAGAGGCAGGCGGAAUUCCUAGUGUAGCGGUGAAAUGCGUAGAUAUUAGGAGGAACACCAGUGGCGAAGGCGGCCUGCUGGACGACUACUGACGGUGAGGCGCGAAAGCGUGGGGAGCAAACAGG
rnacentral:rRNA from 1 species